rnacentral:rRNA from 1 species
CCUACGGGCGCAGCAGUGGGGAAUAUUGGACAAUGGGCGAAAGCCUGAUCCAGCCAUGCCGCGUGUGUGAAGAAGGCCUUCGGGUUGUAAAGCACUUUCAGUGGGGAAGAAAGCCUUGGGGCUAAUACCCUCGAGGAAGGACAUCACCCACAGAAGAAGCACCGGCUGACUCCGUGCCAGCAGCCGCGGUAAUACGGAGGGUGCGAGCGUUAAUCGGAAUUACUGGGCGUAAAGCGCGCGUAGGCGGUCUGAUAAGCCGGUUGUGAAAGCCCCGGGCUCAACCUGGGAACGGCAUCCGGAACUGUCAGGCUAGAGUGCAGGAGAGGAAGGUAGAAUUCCCGGUGUAGCGGUGAAAUGCGUAGAGAUCGGGAGGAAUACCAGUGGCGAAGGCGGCCUUCUGGACUGACACUGACGCUGAGGUGCGAAAGCGUGGGUAGCAAACAGGAUUAGAUACCCUAGUAGUC